rnacentral:rRNA from 1 species
AGUGAACGCUGGCGGCAGGCCUAAUACAUGCAAGUCGAACGGCAACACAGCAGAGCUUGCUCUGUGGGUGGCGAGUGGCGGACGGGUGAGGAAUACGUGGGAAUCUGCCCAGUCGUGGGGGAUAACGUAGGGAAACUUACGCUAAUACCGCAUGCGCCCUUCGGGGGAAAGCCGGGGACCUUCGGGCCUGGCGCGAUUGGAUGAGCCCACGUCGGAUUAGCUAGUUGGCGGGGUAAAGGCCCACCAAGGCGACGAUCCGUAGCUGGUCUGAGAGGAUGAUCAGCCACACUGGAACUGAGACACGGUCCAGACUCCUACGGGAGGCAGCAGUAGGGAAUAUUGGACAAUGGGCGCAAGCCUGAUCCAGCCAUGCCGCGUGAGUGAAGAAAGCCCUCGGGUUGUAAAGCUCUUUUGUCCGGAAAGAAAGCGCCGGGUUAAUACCCUGGUGUCCUGACGGUACCGGAAGAAUAAGCACCGGCUAACUUCGUGCCAGCAGCCGCGGUAAU